rnacentral:lncRNA from 1 species
AGUACAUAGAAACUAAAUAGCAACCUCAUGAUAGUAUAGCGACUGUCGGAUCGUUGGCGCUAACCAUUAAUCUCAAAAGCUUGAGCUGUUAGAAAUACGCAAUGAAUUCACUUAAAGCGCACAGAUGCAGCGCCUACGGGUCUCGAUUGUGACUCGGCCCAACCAGCCUUACGUCACUUCGAACAUGACUCAGCCCACCCAGCCUCACGCUAUUUCGAACAUGACUCGGCCAACAUAGCCUCACGCCACAGGGUAGAAUGUUAGCCCAUUUAAGCCAACAGGUAAUCUGUUAUUUGGUUGGCUUCUAUAAAUGCCCAGAU